rfam:Triticum aestivum genome assembly, contig: Triticum_aestivum_CS42_TGACv1_scaffold_226257_3B
UUUCUACUCCCUCCGUCCGAAAAUACUUGUCAUCAAAAUGGAUAAAAAUAGAUGUAUCUAAAACUAAAAUAUGUCUAGAUACAUUUCCUUUUAUCCAUUUUGAUGACAAGUAUUUCCGGACGGAGGAGUAUUUG